UACGUAGGGCGCAAGCGUUAUCCGGAAUUAUUGGGCGUAAAGAGCUCGUAGGCGGUUUGUCGCGUCUGCCGUGAAAGUCCGGGGCUCAACUCCGGAUCUGCGGUGGGUACGGGCAGACUAGAGUGAUGUAGGGGAAGACUGGAAUUCCUGGUGUAGCGGUGAAAUGCGCAGAUAUCAGGAGGAACACCGGUGGCGAAGGCGGGUCUCUGGGCAGUAACUGACGCUGAGGAGCGAAAGCGUGGGGAGCGAACAGG
rnacentral:rRNA from 1 species